rnacentral:miRNA from 1 species
UCCCAAUCCACCCAUGCC